AACAAAGGGGUGGGACUUUCCGUCCCAACCCCCUGAUUUACAGGAAAGAAAGAGGGAUAAAUGCUGAAUCAUCACCAAUGGUCAAUGAUUUAAUCAAUCGUGCUUGUGUAAUGAAGUCUCCAUAACAACCCACGAGGAGAGGGUUCUGAGUGCUUUCAAGUUGGUGGAGUUCCUGGAGAGGGCAUGGAAGCUCCCUGUGCUUUCCUUAUACUUCACAGCUCUUCUUCUCUUCCAUCUGGUGGUUCCUGAGCUUUAUCCUUUUAUAACAAACCAGUGAUCAAACCCUGUACUUUGUGAAAAUAAGAACCCCAUCUUCUUUGUUCAUUUCUGGAUCCUCAGAACCUGCCUUCCAUGACCUCCUACUGUUGACCAAACUAGCAGCCUGUGUCCUGUUUGAAGAGCUACUGCGGCAGAAGCCGCUGCCUCCAAGCGCUUACGGGAUUUAUCUCUAAAUUAAUAUUUUCAUCGAACACGCUCACGAUACACCUUACAUAAUCUUUAAAUUAUAGGGAAACGCUAGAAGGGUGUUCUGCAAGUCACUGGCUGGAGUCCUGCGAGAGAUUUAUGGCUCUCUCAAGUCGACAUUUGUGACUGACCUACAGCACACCAGGGCUGCUAUUUCCCUUUCCUGAUUCAUGAUAAGUGCAGCUGCCUCCAAAUAAGCCUCCCGAGCCCAUUAAUGCUCAGUCCAUUCCCUUCUGGUAAAUACGCACAUCCCCAGCCUCACUUUUGAAUGUUCAGCGGCGACAAAGUUGAAUAGAAAAUCAGGUUGCCUUUUCCUGUUCGAAACCCUUUGCCAAGUGCCUUGUCACCAGAACGUGGGCGCCCCAGAGUCCAACUUAACCUCUGGCUCUAAUUAAGGAGAUACUUUCCAAUAUAGUUUACUCUCGCAAAAAUAGCAAGAUUGUUUUCCCCUGGCAACACGGGCUUUAAGGUCCUACACUGGGACGCCUUCCGUGUUUUGCUGCCAGCACCAUAGCUAAUUAACAAAAUUGCAUAAAGAUUGAUAUGAAGGUAAAUAUUAAAGGCACAAAAGGGAAGGGAAGGCAAAUUAUUUAAAAUGUCAGAAAAGCCAAGACAUUCAUCUUCCCUGCCGCAAUUUGUUUUUCAUUAAUAAAAUAUACAUUGUUUUCCGCUCGGAAAAGUUAUUAGUGGCAACACGGUCUGCAUGAAGCUUUGUCUCUUCUGAAAUGAAGUCUUUGUUUAGACAUCGGUGAUGAGGGUUUUGUGCCAUUGUCUAAUCUGUCAGAUUAGAUGAGCAAGUGUAUUUAGGGGUGCAAAGAUGUGCAGCCACACCUGCUGUGCAAAGCUGUGAAUUCACAACUCUUCUGACUAUUAAAAUGUGUUAUCCUGGGAGCUCUUUUGUUGUAAUGGAACUGUUGGUGGUUGUGUGUUUGAAGUCGCGCAAGUGUCAGGCCUUAUUACAAUCAUAAUAAUCACUCCAAAAAUAACCUCAUAUUUCGACCAUUUCAUGUUAAUGCGCAAAAAAUUAAAGGCUAAGCACCUAAUAGAUUUGAAGAUGUGAAAGUGAUUUUGCACUCAAAUCUUUCUAAGCAAAAACGAAAGUCCAUUAAUGCAAUAAUAUUCACAACCCAGAAAAACUAUAGCCAUUUGAGAGAGAGUUUUGAAAUAAUACAGGACGUGAACAAAGGACACGCAACCAAAUGUGAAGCCAAUAUCGUGAGGAUAAAAUUAUUCUCUGAGCGAUAUUAACUGUGAUCCUUAAAAAACGCUAAUUAUCAUUUCUUUAUCUGUUGAUGUUUGUCCUUUUCAUGGGAACCUAUCAUGAUAUUUUAUUCCCUCAACUAAAUAUUGGAUUAAGCCUAAACAGAGCUAAUAUUUUCUACUUGUCCCUGAUUAUAUUGGCCACUUUUUUGUGUGCAAUUUCUUUUAUUUUACUUUGUUGAAAUGUAACUGCCCUUAAUCUUGAAACAAAACAAGUAAAUAGAGCUGCUUCAUUUAUUAACUCACCAUGCAGUUCCUAAAACCUACUUUUCUACCUAAUUUAUAUUUUUGAUAUUGGAGGUUUUUGUUGAGCAUUAGUGUUCUUUAAAUAAUCGUUGAGUGUCUCAUAAAUCUAUAGGACUUUCUUCAUUGUAAGUUAGAGCAUUUGCUAAGGAAUGAGAGAAUUUUUCUUUUCAGUAUUUUAAAAAGCAAGGGAGAAGAGGAAAGAACAAAAUGUUAAGCCUCUGUUGUUACUUUUAUAACACUAAGCAGCUUGUGGCAGGUUUAAUAGACCCUAAUCUAGAGAGGCCUUUUUAGGGACCUUAGACCUGUAUGGCCUCAUUAAUUCACAUGGUGCGUGACAGUUCAGAGGUGUCCUAAACCAGCCAUUACCUGCAUAAACAGGCUCUGAUGCCAGCGUGGCACGUUCACUGUCCUCAGAUCAGAAUUCCUCAUCCUUGAUAGCUGUGAUUAGACAAAACCUCCGUAAUGUAAGAAUAUUUUCUUUUUUUUCCUCUGUAAAUACCAAUGAAAUCGGAUCACGAACUACGGUGCAGUACCUUGCAAAACAGAUUUUUAAAUAUUUUUAGCACUAUCCCACAAGAAGAUAAUGCACACUUAACCGAGAAAAGAUACUGGCUUAAAAUAAUGGAAAGAUAUUGGCCUUCUCCAACUCUCCAGAAAUUGUCAUUUUACUGAGACUCGGGCAUACAAUUAGGUGGCCCUCAUUUGACAAUCAUUACGAUGCUGAGACCCGGAUUUCAUAUUGUGUAACAUCUGGAUGGUCCUGCACAUGUAGCAGGGUGACAGCUUCACACAUUCCUUGAAAAGAGGCGUCCACACACUGACAGUUACUCAUCAUUCAGAACCAGAAAAAAAAAAAAAUGAAACGAAAGAAAGAUUUUCCUCCUGACUCUUAAUUUAGGCUAAUCUAUGUAAAAUACAUUAUCUAAUAGCAACCAGCACAGGAACAGUUUUCUGGCACAUUUGCAAAUUGCAGCUGGUCUGAAUUAUAGCAAGAAAUAUUUUACCUUGUGAUAGAAAAGGGAAAAAAGUUUUUACCAAAGGCCAAACUGUGUAAUAAAGGAAAUUAAGAGUAAUUGAAGAUUUGAUUUAAUUUAAUUAACUUUGUAAUAAUCUUAAAUUACUUCUCUUUUUUAUCCUUAUAUAAAUGCCCAGUGAAGACAUUGAAUAUGAAAAUGCUAAAAUAAUAUGUAAACCUGGUAUUUUAAUUAAAUCAGUGCCAAGCUAAUUUCUAGCUAUUACUUGUUGAGAGAAGUCUUCGUGAUAACAGGAUUGUUCAUCUCAAGGCUGUAUAAAGUGAUGAAAAACAUAUAAAUAUGUGAAAAUUAAUAUCUGCAUAUGUGUUUUUUUCUUUUCAAGUACGCUGAAAUCUUCACAAACCUUUAAUAUUUCUCAUUGUGCUUGGUUCCCCCAACAGUAUUGGUGUUUCAGUCUCUUACAUUUUCCUCAGAACCCUGUGUCCUUGUUUCCCUGACUAGUUUUGAUCUGGAUAGGUAAAAUAGUGAUGCUGCUUAAAACUUUCCUGCACAGAAGAUAUUUAAAGCAAGGCAGAUACAAAGAUUGGUUUUCCUUUCCUGAAAUUAAUGAAAGCCACUGUAUGCAAUGGAUAUUUAGUAGAGAAAAUGCAUUAUUUUAUGGAAGAUAUUUUUUUUAAAUGUUAUGCGGACUUCUCUUGCUUUGCAGUGUAUCCACACCAGCUAAAAAGAUUCAAUAGUCUGACUACACUUUUACGUGCUGGAUUAGUCUUUAUAUUUGUUUUGAUAGAAAAGCAGGCAACAGCCUAUUUCAUGGACAAUAAAUUCAAGAUAGUAAUGAUGAGAUAGUAUUGCCUCAGCUAAGUGCACCCAGAUUGGAGGGUCACAUAUUUGACCUCGAUCUAGUAUGGUCCUUAAUGAAUCUAUAUACUUGAUUAGAGUUACUGUCUUUUUAUGGCUCCAAAUAGCUUUGCAUGGAAAACUAGCUCAUUUUAAGUAGAGUUGAGAGAAUUAUUUUGCUUCCAACGAAUCUCUGAAACUUUUCCAAAGACUUUUGAGUGCUUGCUUUAAAAUUUUUGCUUCCCAGAAAGCUACCCUUCUCCUUGCCAAUUUUGGUUUUGUUUACAACCUUCAUUGCAUAGAAAAGAUGCGCUCUUCUGCCACAUUUUAAAGGUAUGAAAAAUUUGGGCUUUUCAAAUAAUCAGCAGAAUUACUGAAAUAUUGUAUGAAAGCCCUGGUCUUGCAGCUAUUUAGGAAUUUUGCAGAUCUUCCUUGCCUCGCCCAUUUCUUAGGACAGAGUAGAAGAAUUGAUGCUGGCGUGUCAUAUUGAGAGAUCAGUGUAAAAGUAGCAGUAAGACAAAACAAAACAAAACAAAACAAAAAAGAUCCAGGAAGGAUUAGAACUCAGAGCCAUUGGAGGUCUUCUGUCCUAUUUUGCGUGUGCUUUGUUUCUUUUAUUCAUUUACUUUUAUUUGCAUUCUGUCAGCUUCUAAUAAUAAGUGGAAUUUUUAUAGCGUCUUGUUACAGACAUCACCUCUAAUGUUCCAGUGUGCAUGCAAUGCACCUGCUUUAUUAUGCAAUGGUCUUUUACAGUCUCCCUGCUUCUGUGAUGUAGCUCUCUUCUCAUCUCUGCUUCCAACUCCAUCUCUCUUUCUCUCUGCUUCUCCGGCUGCAUCACUCACUCUUAAUUCAAGAAAGUGAUUUCUUACUUCUUGUCAUUCUCUUUCUUUCUACCACUCACUCUCAAUCUAUCAGAACUCAUUUCCUGAUUCUGACUACUCUGGGCUCAUGUAUCUCCCUCACUCCGUUCCUCUUCCAGAAAUAUGAUCGAAAUUCUUUCUUUCUUUACCUUUUUUUAAAAUGCAGCUUUCAGAAACUUUUAUUUUCCUUCUUUGUCUUUACUACCAUUUAGGAUUUGGAGGGUAGACAAAUUUAGACAGUAAAAUCUCAAGUUCACAUCACUCUGGGCACUUCUGAAGGAAUAAAUAUUUUCUGAAAGUAUCCACAAAUAUGAAAUGGUAGACUCCUGCAGUAUUACUCAUUAAUAAAUAUAGUGAA